rnacentral:rRNA from 1 species
UGGGGAAUAUUGGGCAAUGGGCGAAAGCCUGACCCAGCAACGCCGCGUGAAGGAAGAAGGUCUUCGGAUCGUAAACUUCUAUCCUUGGUGAAGAUAAUGACGGUAGCCGAGAAGGAAGCCCCGGCUAACUACGUGCCAGCAGCCGCGGUAAUACGUAGGGGGCAAGCGUUGUCCGGAAUGAUUGGGCGUAAAGGGCGCGUAGGCGGCCUGGUAAGUCUGGAGUGAAAGUCCUGCUUUUAAGGUGGGAAUUGCUUUGGAUACUGUCGGGCUUGAGUGCAGGAGAGGUAAGUGGAAUUCCCGGUGUAGCGGUGAAAUGCGUAGAGAUCGGGAGGAACACCAGUGGCGAAGGCGACUUACUGGACUGUAACUGACGCUGAGGCGCGAAAGUGUGGGGAGCAAACA